rnacentral:rRNA from 1 species
GGAAUCUUCCACAAUGGGCGAAAGCCUGAUGGAGCAACGCCGCGUGUGUGAUGAAGGGUUCCGGCUCGUAAACACUGUUGUAAGAGAAGAAUGACAUUGAGAGUAACUGUUCAAUGUGUGACGGUAUCUUACCAGAAAGGAACGGCUAAAUACGUGCCAG